CGCGGCUGUUAACUCUUGUAUUCAGGCUUCAACUUAAGCAAUGCAUUGCAUCUACAUAUAUACAGUUUAAUGUCAAAAGAAAAGAUUUCUCCACGGCUGAACCAAAAUAUAUAUAGAUCAGAUGUAUCUACAACUUUUGACCCCGAACUGUAUCCAAAACUGCACAAAAUUUUACUCGGGCAGCACUUUCUAAUACUAUAUUCGCCACUGUCAUUAUAAUUUGUGCAUAUUCCACUAAUAUCUAUGAAUUUCUCGAACACAAGUCUUUUUUAAAGCCACAUGUUUCCUAAUAGAGAACCAUUUCAACACACUAGAGAUCUUUGUCCAUCUCCUCUGAGCCUUAUCCACUGCAACAGCUGUCGAACGCGUCAACAAG
rnacentral:misc_RNA from 1 species